rnacentral:miRNA from 1 species
CCCCAAAUGUUGCUGAAGUACAACUCCCAUGAUUCCCUGUUUCAUUGAAAGAAUCAUGGGAGUUGUAGUUCAGCAACAUCUGGGG